AGGGAUUAAGUAGGUAAGGGCGCAUGGUGGAUGCCUCGGCAUGGGCAGGCGAUGAAGGGCGUGGCAAGCUGCGAUAAGCCGCGGGGAGCCGCAAGCAGGCUGUGAUCCGCGGAUUCCCGAAUGGGGUAACCCGGCCGGUUGAAGACCGGUCAUCCACGGGCUGAAUCCAUAGGCCUGUGGAGGCGAACCCGGGGAACUGAAACAUCUCAGUACCCGGAGGAAAAGAAAGCAACCGCGAUUCCCUGAGUAGUGGCGAGCGAAAGGGGAACAGCCCAAACCGGCGUCGUUUCGGCGGCGCCGGGGUUGUAGGGCCCGCCAUAUGGGGUCGGAAGGUGAAGUCGAAGCGUGCUGGAAAGCCGCGCCAGAGAGGGUGAUAGCCCCGUAGGCGUAAGCCGACCGAUCUCGGCGGUGUCCCUGAGUACCACGGGACCGGUGGAAUCCUGUGGGAAGCUGCCAGCACCAUCUGGCAAGGCUAAAUACUCGCCCAUGACCGAUAGCGCACUAGUACCGUGAGGGAAAGGUGAAAAGAACGCCUAGUAGGCGAGUGAAAAGGACCUGAAACCAUGCGCCCACAACCAGUCGGAGCCUCUUGCCCUGCUUCGGCGGGGCAAUGGGGUGACGGCGUGCCUUUUGCAGAAUGAGCCUACGAGUUGCUCCUCUCUGGCAAGGCUAAGUGCCUCAGGCACGGAGCCGCAGCGAAAGCGAGUCCGAACAGGGCGUCAGAGUCAGAGGGGGCAGACGCGAAACCGGGUGAGCUACCCUUGGCCAGGUUGAAGCGUGGGUAAGACCACGUGGAGGACCGAACCGGUUGGCGUUGAAAAGCCAUCGGAUGAGCUGAGGGUAGGGGUGAAAGGCCAACCAAACCCGGAGAUAGCUCGUACUCCCCGAAAUGCAUAGAGGUGCAGCGUCGCAGCUGAGUGUGCGGGAGGUAGAGCACUGGUUGGGCUAGGGCCCUUCACCGGGUACCAAACCCAGUCAAACUCCGAAUGCCCGCACAUGCUCUGCGGCAGUGAGGGCAUGGGCGAUAAGGUCCAUGUCCGAGAGGGGGACAACCCAGACCGACAGCUAAGGCCCCGAAGUCCAGGCUAAGUUGACCAAAGGAGGUCGGGCUGCUAAGACAACCAGGAGGUUGGCUUAGAAGCAGCCAUUCCUUUAAAGAGUGCGUAACAGCUCACUGGUCGAGCGGCCCGGCGCCGAAAAUUGUCGGGCAUCAAGCCUGGCGCCGAAGCUUCGGGUUUGCAGCCUUCGGGCUGCAAGCGGUAGGGGAGCAUUCCAGUUGCGCUGAAGUCGCCUCGUGAGGGGCGGUGGAGCGACUGGAAAAGAAAAUGUAGGCAUGAGUAACGAUAAGACGGGUGAAAAACCCGUCCGCCGUAAGCCCAAGGGUUCCUGCUCAACGCUAAUCGGAGCAGGGUUAGCCGGGUCCUAAGCCGAGGCCGAAAGGCGUAGGCGAUGGGAAACGGGUUAAUAUUCCCGUGCCACCCGAAGGCGCUAACCUGAGGCGUGACGCAGGAGCGUAAGGCCCGCGCCCUGACGGAAUAGGGCGUUGAAGCCCGUAGGCUGGGUGGUAGGCAAAUCCGCCACCCGUUAAGGCCGAAAGGCGACAGUAGGGGGACCCGCAAGGGAAACCCAUAGAGGCCCCAAGCACACUGCCAAGAAAAGCGUCGCAGGUUGCCUUCGGGUGCCCGUACCGGAAACCGACACAGGUGGGCGAGGCGAGUAUCCUCAGGCGCUCGAGUGAUCCGUGGCUAAGGAACUCGGCAAAUUGGCCCCGUAACUUCGGGAGAAGGGGCGCCUCCUCCCAUCCAAAAGCGGGAGGGGGCCGCAGUGACCAGGCCCAGGCGACUGUUUAACAAAAACACAGCUCUCUGCAAACUCGUAAGAGGACGUAUAGGGAGUGACACCUGCCCGGUGCCGGAAGGUUAAGGAAGGGGGUUAUCUCGGCCUCGCGCCGGGAGAAGCUCCCGACCGAAGCCCCGGUAAACGGCGGCCGUAACUAUAACGGUCCUAAGGUAGCGAAAUUCCUUGUCGGGUAAGUUCCGACCUGCACGAAUGGUGUAACGACCUGGGCACUGUCUCGGCCACGGGCUCGGUGAAAUUGUGGUGCCAGUGAAGACGCUGGCUACCCGCCGCGGGACGGAAAGACCCCGUGCACCUUUACUGCAGCCUGGCAUUGACGCCGGCCAGGGCGUGUGCAGGAUAGGCGGGAGGCUGUGAAGCCGGGGCGCCAGCUCCGGUGGAGCCGCCCUUGAGAUACCGCCCUCGCUCUGGCUGGCGCCUAACCCACGGCCGUUAUCCGGUCGGGGGACAGUGUCAGGUGGGUGGUUUGACUGGGGCGGUCGCCUCCUAAAGAGUAACGGAGGCUCCCAAAGGUCCCCUCAGCACGGUCGGUAAUCGUGCGCAGAGUGCAAGGGCAUAAGGGGGCUUGACUGCGAGACCCACAAGUCGAGCAGGGGCGAAAGCCGGGCCUAGUGAUCCGGCGGUUCCGAAUGGAAGGGCCGUCGCUCAAAGGAUAAAAGGUACGCCGGGGAUAACAGGCUGAUCGGGGCCAAGAGUUCACAUCGACGCCCCGGUUUGGCACCUCGAUGUCGGCUCAUCGCAUCCUGGGGCUGGAGAAGGUCCCAAGGGUUGGGCUGUUCGCCCAUUAAAGCGGUACGUGAGCUGGGUUCAGAACGUCGUGAGACAGUUCGGUCCCUAUCUGCGGCGGGCGCAGGAGGCUUGAGCGGAGCUGCCCCUAGUACGAGAGGACCGGGGUGGACGGACCUCUGGUGUACCAGUUGUGCCGCCAGGUGCACCGCUGGGUAGCCAUGUCCGGACGGGAUAAGCGCUGAAAGCAUCUAAGCGCGAAGCCCACCGCAAGAUGAGGCCUCCCCUACGGGCCGUCCGAGACCAGGACGUCGAUAGGCGGCAGGUGUAAGCGGGGUAACCCGUUGAGCCGAGCCGUACUAAUCGCCCGUGCGACUUAAUCCC
rnacentral:rRNA from 1 species